rnacentral:rRNA from 1 species
AGAGAGAGACAUGCGCGCAUAUCAAUAAGCGGAGGAAAAGAAACUAACUAGGAUUCCCUCAGUAACGGCGAGUGAAGCGGGAAGAGCUCAAAUUUGAAAUCUUCAAGGUUUUACCUUGACGAAUUGUAGUUUAAAGAAGUGUUUUCUGUUGGAGUUUUGGUAAAAGUUCUUUGGAAUAGGACAUCAUAGAGGGUGAGAAUCCCGUAUUUGACCAUUAUUUCCAACUUUGUGAUACACUUUCAAAGAGUCGGAUUGUUUGGGAAUGCAGUCCAAAAUGGGUGGUAAAUUUCAUCUAAAGCUAAAUACUGGCGAGAGACCGAUAGCGAACAAGUACCGUGAGGGAAAGAUGAAAAGAACUUUGAAAAGAGAGUUAAACAGUACGUGAAAUUGUCAAAAGGGAAGCGUUUGACACCAGUGUUGUUUAGUUGAAAAUCAAUUAAAUAGUUUUCGAUUUUAAGUAGUAUUGACCUUAUCAGCUUGCUGCUUUCUUCUCGGAAAUUAUUUAAUGCACUUUUCAGUUAACAAGUCAACAUCAAUUUCUUUUGUUGUAAAAGAGUCAUUGGAAGGUGGCUUUCUUUUCGGAGAAAGUGUUUAUAGCCUUUGAUCUCUGCAACCGGAGAGACUGAGGUCUGCAGCGUAGACUCUUCGGGGUUAGAUACAUUUGUGCUAAGCUAUAGCUUUUUAUAGACAACUUGUUGACUAUAUUUAGUCUUGUGGCUUACUCGCUUAUGCUAUUUUACCUACGCUUAGGAGUUGACAGCAGUAUAGACUGU